rnacentral:piRNA from 1 species
GAUCAAAUCUGUCCUGAACUAUGC